rnacentral:rRNA from 1 species
AUUGAACGCUGGCGGCAUGCCUUACACAUGCAAGUCGAACGGUAACGCGGGGCAACCUGGCGACGAGUGGCGAACGGGUGAGUAACGCAUCGGAACGUGCCCAGUAGUGGGGGAUAGCCCGGCGAAAGCCGGAUUAAUACCGCAUACGACCUACGGGUGAAAGGGGGGGAUCGCAAGACCUCUCGCUAUUGGAGCGGCCGAUGUCAGAUUAGGUAGUUGGUGGGGUAAAAGCCUACCAAGCCGACGAUCUGUAGCUGGUCUGAGAGGACGACCAGCCACACUGGGACUGAGACACGGCCCAGACUCCUACGGGAGGCAGCAGGGGGGAAUUUUGGACAAUGGGCGCAAGCCUGAUCCAGCCAUGCCGCGUGCGGGAAGAAGGCCUUCGGGUUGUAAACCGCUUUUGUCAGGGAAGAAACGCGCUGGGUUAAUACCUCGGCGUAAUGACGGUACCUGAAGAAUAAGCACCGGCUAACUACGUGCCAGCAGCCGCCGUAAAAC